ensembl:snoRNA SNORA73 Small nucleolar RNA SNORA73 family
CCAACGUGGAUACCCCGGGAGGUCACUCUCCCCGGGCUCUGUCCUGGUGGCGUAGGGGAGCAUAGGGCUCUGCCCCAUGAUGUACAGUCCCUUUCCACAACGUUGGAGAUGAAGCCGGGCCUUGAGUCUGCGCCUGCAUAUUCCUACAGCUUCUCAGAGUCCUGUGGACAACGACUGAGGAGACAAACCAUGCAGGAAAACAGCU